UUAUAUAGCCAACAUGUGCCUCUUCUGAAAAGUGGCAAUGGUUCACUUAAAAGGUGUGACCUUUCUGGAAAAGCCAUCUUUGUUCGUCCAAAGAAUGUGUAUUUUUCGAACAGGCAUACCAUUUCAUGAAUCAGUGUAUCAUUUCGUUGAAGGGUUACAUCCCUUCGUUUCAGCACUGCACUAUUUCGAAACACUGUUUCGAAAUCUGCAUGCAUGCAUAUAAAUGAAGUAUCAAAACACAGAAAAAGUUGUGUUUUUUCCUUUGGUAUUUUCAAACUGAAUUUCUGUCAACUAAACUUUGUCCAAAAAGAUCGAUCUCAUCGAUCGAUCAUUUGACAAAUCUAAAUUCAAAGUCGAGCCGAGCGACGACGACGACGAUGGCGCGAGGCAUCUCUUAUUUCUUUCCUCACUUACCAUGUGGAGUAAGUAUCUCUUAUUUUAAACACUCACAAGUUCUCUUCUUCCACCAAUGUGGGAGAAAGAGUGAACUUUUCAACUUGGGAGUACACUUUCUAAAUUGGUGUCUCCUUUCUCCACCAUUUUUCCUCCAUUCUCCAUUCACACUUUUUCAUAUACUUUGAACCAAACAAUCCCCCACAUGAAUGGAAAAUGAUUAUUUUUCAUAAAAUUUUUACGGACAAGUAUGUGAUCAUCAAGUAAAGACUGAUUGCAUCUGGAUAAGUGAGUUUUCCUUUGAACUUUCUAUAGUGAACAUGCAUCGGAUGUAUUGGAUAAAUCGGUAGAUUUGAUAUCUUUGAAUCAUCAAGCUUUAGUGUACACCUAGACAACACAUGUCACACAACCAAUCUUUUACCGUUUAUGGUUCUCACGGUUUUGUUCAUUUCAGCCAUGAACACGUCCCAGUUUCAUGAGAGCUUAGAGAAUAGGCCUUUACUAACAUUCUCUUUGAAGCAUCUUCCACUUCACCCUCACAUAGGUGAUUUCUAAACGUUCAAUCCUAUAGAUUAAACUAUUUGGUCAAAUCUGCCAAAUUUAGAUAAUCAUUAAAAAACUUUUCACCUUAAGUCUUAUCCUUAUUUACUAAACAUUGUCUACAUCAUGAGAAUGGGUUGGGUAAUUGACAAUAUUAAACCUGUCAGACACAACUUUGUUUGAUCUCCUUGAACCUAGCUCUUGGGAUCUCCAGUAUGCUAGGUAGAGUUACCGCAAUGCUGAUUUAUCCUAGGCCUUAAAUCCAUUCCCUUGGAUAUCCUUUUCACUCCUUCUCUAGAUAGACCUUUUGUAAGUGGAUCUGACACAUUAUCCUUUGACUUCACAUAGUCAACAGUGCUAAUUCCACUAGAGAGAAGUUCUCUAACGGUAUUAUGUCUCUGUCGUAUGUGACGAGAUUUACCGUUGUAUAUCAUGUUCCCUGCCCUACCUAUUGCCGCUUGUCUAUCACGGUGUAUACAUACUAGUGCCACUGGUUUGGGCCAAUAAGGAAUAUCUUCCAAAAAAUUUUGGAGCAAUUCUACUUCUUCACCAUUUUUAUCCAAUGCGAUAAAUUCAGAUUCCAUUGUAGAGCGAGCAAUACAAGUCUGUUUGGAUGAUUUCCAAGAGACUGCUCCUUCACCGAUAUUAAAUACAUAUCCACUAGUGGAUUUUACUUCGUUCAAUCCGGUGAUUCAAUUUGCACCACUAUAUCCUUCGAGUACCGCGGAAUAUUUAUUAUAAUGCAAGGCAUAGUCUUGAGUGUAUUUAAGAUACCCCAAAACUCUUUUCAUUGCCAUCCAAUGAGUUUUAUUGGGAUUACUCGUGUACCGACUCAAUUUACUAAUAGCGCAUGUUAUGUCUGGUCGUGUACAGUUCAUUAUAUACAUUAAACAUCCCAAUAUUCUUGCGUACUCCAAUUGUGAGUCACUUUCACCUUCAUUCUUUCAAAGUACAAAGCUCAUAUCCAAUGGAGUCUUGGCAAUACCGAAUUCCAUAUACUUGAAUUUUUUAGGUACAUUUUUGAUAUAAUGAGACUGUAACAAUGCUAACCCUUGUGAAGUUCUAUGAAUUCUUAUUCCUAAGAUCACAUCCGCAACUCCAAGGUCUUUCAUAUCGAACUUACUCUCGAGCAUUCGUUUUAUUACAUUUAUGUCAGAAAUGUCUCUACUGAUGAUCAACAUAUCAUCCACACAUAAACAAACAAUGACUUGGUGAUUUGGAGUGCCUUUAAUAUAAACACAUUUAUCACAUUCAUUUAUCUUGAACCCAUUUGCCAACAUGAUUUGGUCAAACUUCGCAUGUCAUUGUUUAGGUGUUUGUUUUAGUCCAUACAAUGACUUAAUAAGUUUAUACACUUUAUUUUCCUUUCCUGGAACCACAAAACCUUCAGGUUGUUUCAUGUAAAUUUCUUCCUCUAAUUCUCCAUUUAGGAAUACGAUUUUCACAUCCAUUUGAUGGAUUUCAAGACCAUAUACUGCCGCCAAGGCAAUUAACAUUCGAAUCAAUGUUAUCCUUGUUACUGGCGAGUAUGUAUCAAAGUAAUCAAGACCUUCUUUUUAUUUGAAACAUUUUACUACAAGUCUUGCCUUGUAUUUGUCAAUAGUACCAUCCGCUUCUAUUUUUCUUUUAAAGAUUCAUUUAGAACCUAAAGGUUUAUUUCCUGGAGGAAGAUCAACCAAUUCCCAUGUAUGGUUGCAUAAGAUUGAAUCAAUCUCACUAUUGACUGCCUCUUUCUGAAAGGAUGAGUCCGAAGAUGACUUCGCUUCUUUAAAUGUUUGAGGCUCAUUUUCUAAGAGAAAUGUUACAAAAUCCGAACCAAACGAAGUUGGCGUUCUUUGACGUGUACUACGUCUUGGAUUUUCUUCAUUAUGUAUAUUCUCACUUGGUUCAUCUCGAGGUCAUUUAGACCCUCCACUAGACUGUUCAUGUCUAGUUUUAUACGGGUAAAUGUUUUCAAAUAAUUCAGCACUAUUUGAUUUAAUUACCGUAUUUUUAUUUAUAUUCGGAUGUUCAGAAUUAUGAACCAAAAACCAACAUGCUUUACUGCUUUUAGCAUAUCAUAUGAACACGCAGUCCACAGUCUUAGGUCCUAUCUUGACCCUCUUAGGCAUAGGAACUUGGAUCUUUGCUAAACACCCCCACACUUUGAAAUAUUUCAAGUUGGAUUUCCUUCCUUUCCAUUUUUUAUAAGGAAUUGAUUGUGUCUUACUAUGGAGAACUCUAUUGAGUAUACGAUUGGCUAUAAGGAUAGCCUUCCCCCACAAGUUUUACGAUAAACAGGAACUUAUAAGCAAGACAUUCAUCAUUUUCUUCAAAGUUUGAUUUUUUCUUUCCGCAAUUUCGUUAGAUUGAGGUGAAUACGGGGUCGUAGUUUGAUGGACAAUUUUAUUCUCUACACAUAUUUCGGCGAAGGGAGAUUCAUAUUCUCCGCCCCUAUUACUUCUUAUCAUUUUUAUCUUUUUCUCUAACUAAUUUUCUUCUCCAGUUUUGUAUUGCCUAAACACAUCUAUUGCUUCAUCCUUACUAUUUAGCAAGUAGACAUAACAAUAUCUAGUGCAAUCAUCAAUGAAAGUUAUGAAAUACUUUUUUCCACCACGUGAUGGUGUUGACUUCAUAUCACAAAUACCAGUGUGUAUUAAGUCUAAGGGAUUGGAAUUUCUUUCAAUGAACUUAUAAGGAUGUUUUGCAUACUUUGAUUCCACACACGUUUGACACUUUGAUUUAUUGCACUCAAAGUUUGGAAAAACCUCUAAGUUAAUCAACUUACGUAACGUUUUGUAAUUAACAUGGCCUAAACGUUCAUGCCGCAAACUAUAAGACUCAACCAAGUAAGAAGAAUUUGAUUUUAUAUUGAUUUCAACAUUCAUCACAUUCAUCUUAUAAAGGCCCUCGGUGAGAUAGCCUUUUCCUACAUACACUUCCUCUUUCCUAAUUAUAAUUUUUCCAGAAAUGGUUACACAUUUGAAUCCGUUUUUGUCAAGAAGUAAAACAGAAAUUAAGUUCCUACGUAACUCCAGAACAUACAAGACAUUGUUAAGUGUCAAGACCUUUUCUGAAGUCAUUUUCAAGCCCACUUUUCCUGUUCCUUCUACCUUAGCCGUAGCGGAGUUAGCCAUGUAGAUUAUUUCUUCUACUUGAGCCGGAGCGAAUGACGAAAACAACUCUUUGUUGGCACAAACAUGGCGGGUGGCAACAGAAUCCAUCCACCACUUGCGAGGAUUCCCCACCAAGUUGCAUUCUGAAAACAUAGCACACAGAUCAUCACAUUUUUUAUUGGACUCAAUCAUAUUUGCUUGGUCCUUUUUCUUGCCUUUCUUAGGAGCACGACAAUUCGUGGGAUUAUGGCCAAUCUUGCCACAGUUGAAGCACUUUCCCUUGAAUUUCUUCUUGGGUUGAUGGCUUCCUUGUUCAACUUUCUUCCUUUUCUUAGAAUUAUUUUGGUCAUCUUCUACAAUAUGUGCUCCAUUAAUUGUAGAAUUCCCUUUUGUCCUUUUCUCGGCAUCCUUAUUAUCCUCUUCAAUACAUAGUCGGACAAUAAGAUCUUCGACAGUCAUCUCCUUGCGUUUGUGCUUCAAGUAGUUUUUGAAAUCUUUCCACAUAGGUGGUAGCUUCUCAAUGAUCGCUGCUACUUGAAAUGCUUCAUUCGCAAUCAAACCUACAAAAUAGCUUAUGUGAGUACUAAGAAUAUUUUUAAUUUGUUCAACUAAGGUAUUUUUCAAAGAUAUACCUUCUGCUAGGAGAUCGUAAAUGAUUACUUGCAAUUCCUGCACCUGAGAUACAACUGAUUUACUAUCUUUCAUUUUAAAGUCCAAGAACCUUGCAACAAAGAAUUUCUUAAUUCCCGCAUCCUCUGUCUUGUAUUUUCAUUCUAGUGCCCCCCACAAUUCCUUCGAUGUCUUAGUUCCACUGUAAAUAUUGUAGAGGUCGUCUUGAAGACCACUCAAUAUAUAAUCCCUUCAAAGGAAGUCCGAGUAUUUCCAAGCUUCUACAAUCAUGAAAUACUCUUUGUCCGAGGUUCCCUCGGGCACCUCAAGAGCAUCCUCAGUAGUGAACCUUUGAAGGCAUAGAGUGGUGAGGUAAAAGAAUAUCUUUUGCUGCCAUCGCUUAAAGGCAAUGCCCGUAAAUUUUUUGGGCUUCUCCGCAUGUGCCAUUGGUUGCGAAGCAUUUGCUCGACUUGUUGAAGCAAUGCUAGUUGCCCCCACAGUCGUAGCCGCAUCUUGCAUUUGAAUUUCGUUAGUCAUUUUUCCUAUCACCACAAGAUAAUAAAAUUUAGUAUUUUCAGAAUACUAUUUACAAAGUUAAGCAACGUUAAAAUCUUCUUCUUGUUUCUAGUUAACGAUGAAGUUUUUAUGACUUUCAAUCGUCAACCGAAUGAUUUUUAACUUGUGAUGAAGAUUUUAUGUCUUCGAAUCACUAGUUAAGUUCAAACGGAGUAGAAAGCUUAAAGUUUUAAUCUCCAAAAACAAGCAAUACAGAUUCUGCAGAAGGUUAUUCCUUAAGAUUGUUAUCUUUUAUGUAUUCGGGUACAAGAAUCUGUAUAUAAGAAACACAAACUUCAACACCAGUUCAAAUCCAAGACAAGAACACUUAUGAAGUUCCGUAACACCUUCAACACUAGAUUACGAAUAAUCUAUCUAAGAAGUGUGUUAAGAUUCAGAAAAAGGAUGAAACAGAAUUAAAGGACCAAGUCCUCCGAAUUCAUGGAGUGUCCUUAAGGAAUAACUCCCCUCACUGUACCCGAGGUUUUGGAAUCUUCCUCCCAGGAUAAAAUGACCUUCAAUUCGAACAAUAGCAGUACCUCAAAUUGUUGGAUUUAGCGAACUCACCCAACGGUUUAAUAGAUCACACAGAAAGUUUUUCAAGACAAGAAGAGAGUUUGUAUUUCAAAAAAUUCGUGCCUAAACCUGUGGAUGAAAGCAGAUUUAUAUAGCUAAUAUGUUCCUCUUCUGAAAAGUGGCAAUGGUUCACUUAAAAGGUGUGACCUUUCUGGAAAAGCCAUGUCUGUUCGUCCAAAGAAUGUGUCUUUUCCGAACAGGCAUACCAUUUCAUGAAUCAGUGUGUCAUUUCGUUGAAGGGUUGCAUCCCUUCGUUUCAGCACUACACUGUUUCGAAACACUGUUUCGGAAUCUGCAUGCAUGCAUAUAAAUGGAGUAUCAAAACACAGAAAAA
rnacentral:lncRNA from 1 species